GAAAACAUAAUUUUGAUGCUUUUAAAAUUUUAAGAAACAUAUUUUCAUUUCUCUCACCUUCCUCACGCUUUUGAGCCUUCCUCCCUUAGCACAACAAUGGCGAUUUCUUCUUCAGACUUUCAAGGAGAAUUGAUGAUCUAAGCUUGGAAGAUUCUUCUCUUAAUUUCUUGGAAAAUCAAACUAGUUUGUCCAUUCUGACUUUGAGAAACUGUCGAUUGUCUGGUGAAAUUCCAAGACGAAUUGGAAGACUGGUUCAGUUGCAACAACUAUAAGUAGGCUUGUUAUCUGCAAUUCUAUGUGAUCGACUCUAGUCACAGGACUUAAGCUUUAACAAGUUGAUUGGCUCAAUACCAAACUCAUUCCAAGACUUGUCAAUGUUAACUUACCUGUGAGUAGAUAAGACUCGUCUUUAUAGUAAUGUUAUGUUCAAUAAUCUGAAACUUAAAAUCUAAGUGUAUCGUCGUAGAGUGCAUUUGGGAAAUGGUUUGCUAUAAGGCUAAACAGUGUCAAAGUUUCUGUUAAUCCUAUUCACUAUUCUGUUUGUAUUUUCAAUAUAUAUUUGUAAGAAUCAUACAAAAGUGUUUUUAACUUAGGGCACUUUAAAAUCUACUCCUUACCCUUCACAAGUGUUUUCACAGUUACUCAUUUGAUCUUUCAAGCCCUUAAUUCUAGUUCAAAAUAAAGAGAGCAAUAACUCUGUUAAAACUAAUAGAAAAACUGACUUAAUAGUCUGAAAACUUACUUAGCUGUUUGUGGACCAAUCACAACAAUUAUGUGUAUUUUUCUAAUGUAGUUUCUCAAUUAGUAACAAUGAUUAUUUUGGCUCCUG